CCUACGGGUGGCAGCAGUGGGGAAUAUUGGACAAUGGGCGAAAGCCUGAUCCAGCCAUGCCGCGUGUGUGAAGAAGGCCUUCGGGUUGUAAAGCACUUUCAGUGGGGAAGAAAGCCUUGGGGCUAAUACCCUCGAGGAAGGACAUCACCCACAGAAGAAGCACCGGCUAACUCCGUGCCAGCAGCCGCGGUAAUACGGAGGGUGCGAGCGUUAAUCGGAAUUACUGGGCGUAAAGCGCGCGUAGGCGGUCUGAUAAGCCGGUUGUGAAAGCCCCGGGCUCAACCUGGGAACGGCAUCCGGAACUGUCAGGCUAGAGUGCAGGAGAGGAAGGUAGAAUUCCCGGUGUAGCGGUGAAAUGUGUAGAGAUCGGGAGGAAUACCAGUGGCGAAGGCGGCCUUCUGGACUGACACUGACGCUGAGGUGCGAAAGCGUGGGUAGCAAACAGGAUUAGAUCCCCUAGUAGUC
rnacentral:rRNA from 1 species